CAUCAUUGAAAUGUCUAGCAUCUAUUAUUGGUCUGAAGUCCAAAGGUGGAAGAAGAACUUAAUGUUUAAAAGUGUCCAUGGAGUGAGCGUGACAUGACAAACAGAAGAUUGGAUGAACACCAGGAAAGCCAGAGUUUGCUUCAAUCCUGGCAGUUUGACAAGAAUAAUUUGGAUUGCUUAAUGGUGCAUAAAGGAUACAGGCGUGCUCCGAUGGAAGAUGACUGGGGCACAGGAAGGGUACCAGGCGAGGAGAAAGGCUGGAGUACAAGCACAGAAACCACCAGUACCACCAGUGGCUAGAAGCCAGUGGAGUGCAUCUUUCCCGAACAUCUCCAGAGACAGAAUGGCCAUACUGCCCCAUUGACCUGAGAGUCUGACUUCCCAAAACGGAAAGAGUAAAUGUCAACUUUAAAUUAUCCAGUUAUCAGUGUUCUUCUGUCUCACACCUAGCAAAAUAAUACAGUGUAUAGAAAUAAAAAAUGUAAUUGAUAAA